rnacentral:rRNA from 1 species
AUUGAACGCUGGCGGCAGGCCUAACACAUGCAAGUCGAACGAGUGGCGGACGGGUGAGUAAUGUCUGGUAAACUGCCCGAUGGCGGGGGAUAACUACUGGAAACGGUAGCUAAUAACGCAUACCAUCGGAUGUGCCCAGCUGGGAUUAGCUAGUAGGUGGGGUAAAGGCUCACCUAGGCGACGAUCCCUAGCUGGUCUGAGAGGCUGACCAGCCACACUGGAACUGAGACACGGUCCAGACUCCUACGGGAGGCAGCAGUGGGGAAUAUUGCACAAUGGGCGCAAGCCUGAUGCAGCCAUGCCGCGUGUAUGAAGAAGGCCUUCGGGUUGUAAAGUACUUUCAGCGGGGAGGCGUUACCCGCAGAGGAAGCACCGGCUAACUCCGUGCCAGCAGCCGCGGUAAUUC